CGAGAGUUUCAAAUCAUAGAGUAAGCGAUUUUCGAUUUGGGUCAUUGGAUCUGCUAUGGCUUUCCGCAGUUAUGUUCUUUUCCUUGUUUCGUUAAUUGCCUUUCCAUUGCUCUCCAAUGGUGAGAUUCCUGAAGAUGUGGCCGAGAAGAUAAAGAGUAUUAAUGCAAGAGGCGCGCAUUACGGUCUGGUGGUUUCCGGCGAAGCAGAACUCAAUGUAUUUCUCGCUGAGGGCGUCUUCCAACCUCUAGAUAUCUCUGGUCGAAGGUUCCAUGUGGGAAUGUUUAGAAUGCGCAGGACAAUUUUAGUAAUGAGCGGAAGUGGAUCGGUGAACGCAGCACAGACGACAGAGCUGCUGCUCACUCACUUUCGUGUAAAGGCCGUAAUUCACUAUUGAAGAGCGGCCAGCGCAAACCCCAAAUAACUCCGUGUUGGUGACGUUGCUAUUCCCAGUCAAUUCGCACACAGUGGCGUCUGGUACUGGCAGAACUUUCCCCCUCCCCGUGACGAUAAAAGUUUCGAUCGCCAGAUUGCUAACCUUACAUUUUCCGACUUCAAUGUUAGAAAAAACGUUCUGAACAUUCUUCAGAGCGUAUAUUUGCAGCCAGAAACAGUUUAUUCCAAGCCCGAGGAGGGAGUACCCAUAUUCUGGUUUAAUGCAGAUGACAAAUUGUACGCCAGCGCAGAGGAAAUUGAGCCUGUAGAGUUAGAUAGAUGCGUGGCCAAAUCUCUUAUAUGUCUGCCAAUGCAGCCAAAGAUUAAGAGGGUUGAGAGGGCAAGCAGUGCUGACAUCUAUAUGAAUAACGUGGCUUACAGAAACUUUCUCCAUAAGGAGUUGAAUGUCGAUACCAUUGACACUGCAACUGCAGCAAUUGCGAUGGUGUGCGAGAGCCAGAAGAAGCCCUUCCUUGCCAUGAGAUCGAUAACCAAUUAUGCGGGCGGGCCUUCUCUGGAAAACGAUGUAAGUGUGAUCAAGCAGCUGUGGACCUCCCAUGCUAGCGUAGCAGUCGGUGCAAUCUUCGACAAAUUGGCACCAGGCGAUUCUACACUCCGUUUAGUUACCAUGUGAUGAAUGCAAUAAAUAGUUGUAAUGAGUAUGUUUAGUAAUAGCGGCUGCCCGAUCUAUUUGCGUAUCUCUAGUAAGAGUGGCCGCACCGUCCGUGUAUAAAUGUUUGAAGCCCCUUCUUUAUUGUCAGAUUCGAACCCACUACCUACUGUGUGCAUGUUCACUAUGGGGGGCUUCUUUUAUCUAAAUAAACGGAUUAUUAUGUAUUA